rnacentral:rRNA from 1 species
AGAAGCAAAUAAGGGCGCAUGGGGGAUGCCUAGGCUCUCGAAGACUAUGAAGGACGUGGUAAGCUGCGAAAAGCUGUGGGGAGUUGCAAACAAACAUUGAUCCACAGAUGUCCGAAUGGGGCAACCCGUUAUGUUGAAGACAUAACAUUCUGCGUAAGCAGGAAGAAAACCCGGUGAACUGAAACAUCUAAGUAACCGGAGGAAGAGAAAACAAACGUGAUUCCGUAAGUAGUGGCGAGCGAACGCGGAACAGCCUAAACCAUAUCAAGCAAUUGGUAUGGGGUUGUAGGACUCACAUAAUUGAUACAAUUAGAAGUGGAAUGCUUUGGAAGGAGCAACCGAAGAGGGUGAAAGUCCCGUACACGUAAAGAGAGUAUUGAGGUGAGGAUCCUGAGUAGGGCGGAGCAGGUGAAACUCUGUCUGAAUCUACCGGCACCAUCCGGUAAGGCUAAAUACUCACGAGAGACCGAUAGUGAACCAGUACCGUGAGGGAAAGGUGAAAAGAACCCCGAGCAGGGGAGUGAAAAGAACCUGAAACCAUGCGCUUACAAGCGGUCGGAGUUUCGUCUUAGGACGGAAUGACGGCGUGCCUUUUGCAUAAUGAGCCUACGAGUUGCUCUUCUAUAGCGAGUUUAAGCCCCUCAGGGGCGUUAGGCGCAGCGAAAGCGAGUCUUAACAGGGCGACAUAGCUAUAGGAGGCAGACGCGAAACCGAGUGAUCUACCCAUGGGCAGGUUGAAGUUCCGAUAGUCUCGGAAUGGAGGACCGAACCAGUACAUGUUGAAAAAUGUUUGGAUGACCUGUGGGUAGGGGUGAAAGGCCAAUCAAACUCGGAGAUAUCUCGUACUCCCCGAAAUGCAUUUAGGUGCAGCGUUGAAUAAGAGUGUCAUGGAGGUAGAGCUACCAAUAGGGCUAGGGGGCUUCACCGCCUACCAACCCCUGAUGAACUCCGAAUGCCAUGACAUGUUCUUCAGCAGUGAGGCUAUGGGUGCUAAGGUCCAUAGCCGAGAGGGAAACAACCCAGACCAACAGCUAAGGUCCCUAAAUAUGGACUAAGUUGAAUUAACGAGGUGGGAAUGCAGUGACAGCUAGGAUGUUGGCUUGGAAGCAGCCAUUCAUUUAAAGAGUGCGUAAUAGCUCACUAGUCGAGCGUUCCUGCGCGGAAAAUAAUCGGGCAUCAAGUCCAUUACCGAAGCUUUGGUUUUCUACUUUUUAAAGUAGGAAAGGUAGGGGAGCAUUCUUAGUGCGUUGAAGUUGUGUCGUGAGACACAUUGGAGCGCUGAGAAAAGAAAAUGUAGGCAUAAGUAACGAUAAAUACAGCGAAAAACUGUAUCGCCGAAAGACUAAGGUUUCCUGGAUCUAUGUUAAUCAGAACAGGGUUAGUCGGGACCUAAGGCGAAGCCGAAAGGUGUAGUCGAUGGAAAACAGGUUAAUAUUCCUGUACCUGUAUAUACUGCGAUGGAGGGACGGAGUCGCGUAAGGUCUGCCCCCUGACGGAAUAGGGGGUUGAAGUGCGUAGGCGUUGAAUUUGAUAGGUAAAUCCGUCAGAUGAGCUGAAACACGAUAGUACACCGAGAACUUCGGUUCGAGGUGAUAAUGACCCCAAGCAUACUUCCGAGAAAAACUUCUAAGCUUCAGGUAUAUACAGCCCGUACCACAAACCGACACAGGUAGUUGAGGAGAGAAUCCUAAGGCGCUCGAGUGAUUCAUGGCUAAGGAACUAGGCAAAAUAGCCCCGUAACUUCGGGAGAAGGGGCGCUCCAUUAUAAUAUGGAGCCGCAGUGAAAAGGCCCAGGCGACUGUUUAGCAAAAACACAGGACUCUGCAAAAUCGAAAGAUGAAGUAUAGGGUCUGACACCUGCCCGGUGCCGGAAGGUUAAGGAAGGGGGUUAGUUCUUCGGAACAAAGCUCUUAACUGAAGCCCCGGUAAACGGCGGCCGUAACUAUAACGGUCCUAAGGUAGCGAAAUUCCUUGUCGGGUAAGUUCCGACCUG